GACGAACGCUGGCGGCGUGCUUAACACAUGCAAGUCGAACGGAAAGGCCCUGCUUUUGUGGGGUGCUCGAGUGGCGAACGGGUGAGUAACACGUGAGUAACCUGCCCUUAACUUUGGGAUAAAUUCAGGAAACUGGGGCUAAUACCGGAUAGGAGCUCCUGCUGCAUGGGGGGGGUUGGAAAGUUUCGGCGGUUGGGGCUGGUCUCGCGGGUUAUCAGCUUGUUGGUGGGGUAGGGGCUUACCAAGGCUAUGACGGGUAGGCGGCCUGGGAGGGUGACCGGCCACCUUGGGCCUGAGAGACGGCCCAGACGCCUACGGGAGGCAGCAGGGGGGAGUAUGGCACAAUGGGCGGAAGCCUGAUGCAGCAACGCCGCGUGCGGGAUGACGGCCUUCGGGUUAUAAACCGCUUUCGCCUGUGACGAAGCGUGCGUGACGGUAAUGGGUAAAGAAGCACCGGCUAACUACGUG
rnacentral:rRNA from 1 species